AUUGAACGCUGGCGGCAUGCCUUACACAUGCAAGUCGAACGGUAACGGGCCUUCGGGUGCCGACGAGUGGCGAACGGGUGAGUAAUACAUCGGAACGUGCCCGAUCGUGGGGGAUAACGAGGCGAAAGCUUUGCUAAUACCGCAUACGAUCUACGGAUGAAAGCAGGGGACCGCAAGGCCUUGCGCGGACGGAGCGGCCGAUGGCAGAUUAGGUAGUUGGUGGGAUAAAAGCUUACCAAGCCGACGAUCUGUAGCUGGUCUGAGAGGAUGAUCAGCCACACUGGGACUGAGACACGGCCCAGACUCCUACGGGAGGCAGCAGUGGGGAAUUUUGGACAAUGGGCGCAAGCCUGAUCCAGCCAUGCCGCGUGCAGGAUGAAGGCCUUCGGGCUGUAAACUGCUUUUGUACGGAACGAAAAGCCUUCUUUUAAUACAGGGGGGUCAUGACGGUACCGUAAGAAUAAGCACCGGCUAACUACGUG
rnacentral:rRNA from 1 species